rnacentral:rRNA from 1 species
GAUGAACGCUAGCGGCAGGCUUAACACAUGCAAGUCGAGGGGUAUGCUUCUUCGGAAGCAGAGACCGGCGCACGGGUGCGUAACGCGUAUGCAAUCUACCUUUUACAGAGGGAUAGCCCAGAGAAAUUUGGAUUAAUACCUCAUAGUAUUAUAGAAUGGCAUCAUUUAUAAUUAAAGUCACAACGGUAAAGAUGAGCAUGCGUCCCAUUAGCUAGUUGGAAGGUAACGGCUUACCAAGGCUACGAUGGGUAGGGGUCC